rnacentral:rRNA from 1 species
ACUCCUACGGGAGGCAGCAGUUGGGAAUCUUGCACAAUGGGGGAAACCCUGAUGCAGCGACGCCGCGUGGAGGAUGAAGGAUCUAGGUCUGUAAACUCCUUUUAUCGGGAAAGACUUAGGACGGUACCCGAUGAAUAAGCACCGGCUAACUACGUGCCAGCAGCCGCGGUAAU